rnacentral:rRNA from 1 species
UGACGUNUAGGCGGAUUGAGAGAUUGACCGCCAACAUUGGGACUGAGACACUGCCCAAACUCCUACGGGAGGCUGCAGUCGAGAAUCUUUCGCAAUGGGCGAAAGCCUGACGAAGCGACGCUGCGUGAGUGAUGAAGGCUUUCGGGUUGUAAAACUCUUUCGCGCAAGAGCAAAGUGUAUUAGUGAAUAACUGAUGCAUAUGAGAGUACUGNGUAAANAANCACCGGCUAACUCCGUGCCAGCAGCUGCGGUAAUACGGAGGGNGCUAG